rnacentral:rRNA from 1 species
AAUGACCGCUGGCGGCGUGCUUAACACCUCCGACUCGUACGGAGUAAGAAGAGCUUGACCUUCUGGAUCCGUGGCGAUCGUGUGAGUAACACGUGAGUAACUUGUGCUAGACUCCGGUAUGAGAGCUGGAAACGGAGUUUAAUACCGGACAUGAGACAGAGCUGGAUGGCUACUGACUGGAAACUUUUUCGGUCUGGGAUGGACUCGCGGCCCCUCAGCUUGUUGGCGAGGUAGCGGCUCCCCAAGGCAACGCCGGGUCGCCGGCCUGAGAGGGCGACCGGCCACACUGGGACUGAGACACGGCCCAGACUCCUACGGGAGGCAGCAGUGGGGAAUAUUGCACAAUGGGCGAAAGCCUGAUGCAGCGACGCCGCGUGGGGGAUGACGGCCUUCGGGUUGUAAACCUCUUUCAGCAGGGAAGAAGCGAAAGUGACGGUACCUGCAGAAGAAGCACCGGCUAACUACGUG